GGUCUCAUGGUGUAGUGGAAAGCACGUUCGUUCGGGCCACUGAAAUGGAAGACCUGCGUUCGAUUCACAGUGAGAUUG
rnacentral:tRNA from 1 species